rnacentral:lncRNA from 1 species
UAUUUUCUCAACUUGUUGUAAGACUAAUAUAUUUCCUUCAGUAGGCACGGCAUGGUGGGAAAGGUUUUUAUUGAAAGAAUUCUGAUAUUUCUUAGACUUUGUUUUGGAAGGGGGUGGAGGGAUUUCUCAUCCAUAUAUGGUUACUUUGGGCGUUCCACUUCCCGGACCAAAAAAUACUACCUCAAAAGUCGUAUUCACAACCCGUUUCAUCGAUGUUUGUGGUAGCAUGGAAGUUGACAGGAAGUUUCAAGUAGCAUGCUUAUCAGAAAAGGAUGCUUGGGAACUGUUUCGAGAAAAAGUUGGGGAAGAAACUCUUCAGAGUGAUCAUGAUAUCGAUGAGCUAGCCCAAAUUGUGGUCAAGAAGAUUUUAUAUCCUGAAGAUUUUGGCAUUCUUAAAUGGGACUUGAUUGAUUGUUGGUUUGGCGAGGGAUUUUUUGGGGAAUCUGAAGGGUUUGGUGCAGAAAACCAAGGAUAUGACAUUUUGGACACUCUUGUUCGUGCAUGUUUAUUAGAAGAGGUGGAAGAUGAUGAAGUAAAAAUGCAUGACGUUAUUAUUGUGGUGCACUUGCAGCAAGAUAACCAGACCGGUAUGUGCUCUUAUAUUAACUAUAUUGACUGGAUUUGUUAGUGUGCGCAUUUUUUUGUGUAUACUCACUUUUGUAUUUAUGCAUAUUAACAUGUGUAGGAUUCUUGAUUUCUGCCACUUACUGGAGAACUAGUGGAAAGCUUUAUACUGAUAUAUCUGCAAUAACUAAUGGAAACUAUGAUAUGAAUAUUUUCUCUCACCUGGGGAGCUGUGUAACAGAUAUACUUUGUGGCUCUGGAAUGCUGAAGAUUCUGCAAUAACUAAUGGAAAAUAUGAUAUGAAUAUUCUGUCUCACCUGGAGAACUUUGUUACAGAUACCCUUUGUGGCUCUGGAAUGUCUAAAGAAUGCUUCAGUUAGAUCAAAUAUCUUUUAGUUAGAAGAGAUAAAAUUCUCUGAGUCUGAAAGACUGAAACAUUUUGCAUAUUUUGUGAAAGGGAAAUAUCUGUUGAUACUAGCUCAUGCAUUGAGGUAAUAUCGAUGUUAAAGAAAAACAGCAAUGAUUUAUGAUAUAGAAUUGGGUUCACUUGCUUUAAAUGCUGGUCUGAUCAACCAUAUCAACCUGUAAUGAUUCUGCAGAAAUAUAUAUACGAGGAGAAAGUAGCUAAAUUUUUCUUUCAUUUAUGGGUUCGGUCUUUUUUCCCCUUAUUUUUCAGCUUGCCUUCUCCUGAAGUAUGUUAACAAUUGCAGAUAAUGAUGAAGAGGACAGCUUCCAGGCUCUCCUUAGAGCCGUGAUGGAAUAUAGGGGCACAAUGAAGGAAUAUUGUAAAGCUGUAGGUACUUUUUCUCCUGUCAUUUAUGUUUUCUUACACAUUUUGUAUAUGCCCUGAACAUGCACCUUUGUAUGUAUCAAUUGACUUUUAAAUUUUAAAAGCCAUAAAGUAAGAAUACGGUUCCUUGUCAGGCUACUGAUGCAUUCGCUCAGGGGGGUCAUGUUCGAGCAGGAAAAUUUCUAGAACAGGUAAGGUUUCCAUCUACAGCCAUCCAUUGACAGCAGAUACAUUUUCAUUCAGCAGACUCUGUUAGCAUUCAAGAUGCUGGCAGAUUCACUUGAUUCUUAUUAGCUUGUUUAGUGGCAAAGCCUAUAACCUGUAUUUCAAAGCCAAGUUGUGCUAUUGAUUAUGUUAACUUUUUUGUUAACAUAAAAUGAUAUGGAGGAAAUAAUCAGUGUUGGAAAAUUAGGUGAAAAGAUGAUGUCAAAUCUUGAACCUCUUACGAAACUCUAAGUUCUUUACUUGAAGAGGCUACCAAAUUUGAACAGCGUCUACUCGAAGGCCUUGCCAUUCCCUGAUGCAUGCAGAAUUUUUGUAUUUAAAUGCCCAGAGCUUAAGAAGCUGCCACUGGAUCUUGAAGGGGCAGACCAAGGUAAAAUUCUUAUCAAGGGAAAGGAAGAUUGGUGGAAACAACUUAAUGGGAGGAUCAAGUAAUUCAGAAUGCAUUGCUUCCAUUUUUUAAAUCGACUGACAAGUGAUUGAACGGGGCAUCAUCAACAUCAUCAACAGGGAUGGAGAGAUGACGGAGCAGAUCAGCAGGGUUUGAAUAUGACCUUUGGCGGUUGCCUUUUUUUUUUGUGAUUUUUUUUCAUUUUUUCCUUCCUGUCAUUUUAUCAUUUCUUUGGCUCUGUUUCUAUUGCGGGUGUUACUGCAUGCUUACUGUUGCUUGACAAAGUUUGCUAGCUUUUUGUUUGCAGUGCUGCUAUACACUCCGAGUCAAGCCCCGAAAAUUUAUUAAACGACGCCGUUUCGACAGUAACAAUUCUAUUCUUUUACCUUUGCCUGUCUCUUUCAUCUGCUGUUUCUCUAUCACUUUUCAUUUUUGAUUUCCUUGCUUCCCAGCUGCCCCUAAAUUGUUAUUCUAGCAAUAUACUUUCUCAUCUUUGAAUUUUCAUCCUUGAGUACUCCCACAGCCGUAAUUUCAUCAUUAUAGACUUCACUUGGAAUGCUGUAUUUUUUCGAUUCCUGAGCUACUUCAAUUACAUCUUAGUAUAGGAUCCUCAUCUUCCUUUAUUUCUUCAUCUUAUGAGGUAACAAAUGGAUUUCACAACUCAUCUACUUUUAAGCAAUUACAUAUUAUACCUCGAAUGAUUCAACUGUUCCGACAGUUAAAGAUUUUAUGCUCAACCUGCAGUGCUACGAACAUUGUCCAUGAAAGAUGAGUUUCAGCAUAUAAAAUGAAAUAUAGAUGUUUAAUCUAAAAUAACCCUUCACUGCCAGAAACCUAGGUCACAAAAUUCACAGAUAAUGAUAAAGAGCUAAAAAAUUUGAAAAACUCUACAGAUCACACAUCAAGCAAGAUAUCAUGUUUGUUUUCCCUCGUUCGGUGGUGAUUGAUUCGUUUUUUGAUGAUGGAUAUGGUAUAAAAGUUUUGACCCAAUUUCAAGCAAACACAAAUAGAAACGCACAAACACAAACACAAUCGGGACUAGAGUUGUGGGCGAUUAUCUCAGGUGUACAAGUGAAACGGUGGUGGCUGUCGAUGGUGGUAGUGGGGUGGUUGGGUAUGCGUGAUGGCUAGAUUUUAGGACAAUAAUGGUUGGAGUUGACCUCAAUCAACGAAGGAAAGUGACAACAAUUUUGACAUCAAACGGUGCAUUUUUUAAGAAGGCUGGACGGAGUGCAAGUGUGGGUUUCGAGGGUGGAUUCUGUUAAAACUGAAGCUGAUCAAUUUAUAAGAGACGGCUCUCGAGAAAUUGAAAAAUUAUGUGUUGGAGGCUACUGUUCCAAGAACUGCAGGUCAAGCUACAAUUUCGGAAAACAAGUGGCUAAAAAGCUACGAGAUGUGGAGACUUUAAUCGCCGAAGGAGUUUUUGAGGCGGUGGCUACCGAGGUGGUGGCUGACAGAGCUCCAGAGUCUGUAGCAGAUGAAAGACCUACUGAGCGAACAGUAGUAGGCUUGCAAUCACAACUUGAACAAGUCUGGAGAUGUCUUGUAGAAGAAUCAGCGGGAAUCAUUGGCCUAUAUGGUAUGGGCGGUGUUGGUAAAACUACACUACUGACCCAUAUCAACAAUAAAUUUCUCGAGAGUCCAACCAACUUUGAUUGUGUGAUUUGGGUUGUAGUUUCAAAAGACCUGCGACUCGAAAAAAUUCAAGAAGAUAUUGGGAAAAAGAUAGGUUUGGUUGGUGAUUCAUGGAAGAGUAAAAGUGUAGAGGAGAAAGCUGUCGACAUCUUCCGGAGUUUAAGAGAGAGAAGAUUUGUAUUGUUGUUAGAUGAUAUAUGGGAGCGGGUUGAUUUAACAAAGGUGGGCGUUCCACUUCCCGGACCAAAAAAUACUACCUCAAAAGUCGUAUUCACAACCCGUUUCAUCGAUGUUUGUGGUAGCAUGGAAGUUGACAGGAAGUUUCAAGUAGCAUGCUUAUCAGAAAAGGAUGCUUGGGAACUGUUUCGAGAAAAAGUUGGGGAAGAAACUCUUCAGAGUCAUCAUGAUAUCGUUGAGCUAGCCCAAAUUGUGGUCAAAGAGUGUGGUGGUUUGCCACUCGCACUUAUUACUAUUGGUCGAGCUAUGGCCUACAGAAAGAAAGCGGAGCAGUGGAGACGUGCAAUUGAAGAGUUAAGGAGAUCAGCUUCAGAGUUUGCAGGUUUGGGAAAAGAGGUGUAUCCUCUUUUAAAAUUCAGCUAUGAUAGUUUGCAGAAUGAUACGGUUAGAUCUUGUUUCUUGUACUGUUGUUUAUAUCCUGAAGAUUGGAAUCUCACAGCUUUGGUGCAGAAAACCAAGGAUACUACAUUGUGGGCACUCUUGUUCGUGCAUGUUUAUUAGAAGAGUUAGAAGAUGAUCAUGUAAAAAUGCAUGACGUUAUUCGUGAUAUGGCUCGAUGGAUAGCUUGUGAAAUUGAGAAGGAGAAGAGAAACUUUUUGGUUCGUGCAGGUGCUGGAUUAAAAGAGGCACCGGGCGUUAAAGGAUGGGAAAAUGUGAGAAGAUUGUCAUUGAUGCAAAACCAAAUUGAAACUCUGUCAGAGGUUCCCACAUGCCCUCAUCUUCUCACUUUAUUUCUUGACUUUAAUAGGGAGUUGAAGACUAUCGCGGAUGGCUUCUUCCGAUGUAUGCCUUCUCUCAAAGUUUUGAAGAUGUCACGCUGUGGGCAAUUCGAAGGUUUUCAGUUACCUAUUGGGAUGUCAGAGUUGGGUUCGUCACUAGAACUUCUUGAUAUUUCAUAUGCCAGCAUAACAGAGUUACCAGAAGAGUUAAAGUUGUUGGUAAAUCUGAAAUGUUUGAAUUUGAGGCGGACAAUUUGGUUAAAUAAAAUUUCACGGCAACUAAUAUCAAAUUCUUCAAGGUUACGUGUGUUGAGAAUGUUCGCUACUGGCUAUGAUCGUUUUCAUGAAGCAUCAGAAGACAGCGUUUUAUUUGGUGGGGGUGAAGUUUUGAUACAGGAAUUGCUCGGUUUGAAAUAUUUAGAGGUAUUGGAGUUGACCUUGGGAAGUUAUCAUGCUCUCCAAAUUCUUUUGAGCUCAAAUAAGUUAAAAAGUUGUAUUCGAUCUCUUUACCUCCAGUUGACCGGAGAUACAGCGUCAAUUAUUGAUGCUACGGCUUUCGCAGAUCUAAACUACCUCAAUGAAUUAUGUAUUGAUAAUGGUAUUGAGUUGGAAGAGUUGAAGAUUGAUUAUACGGAGAUAGUAAGAAAAAGGCGGGAACCUUUUGUUUUCCGCAGCCUUCACUGUGUUACUAUGAUUUCGUGCCGUAAAUUGAAAGAUUUGACAUUCCUCGUUUUUGCUUCAAACCUCAAGUCUCUUCGGCUACGCAAUUGCUAUGCUAUGGAAGAAAUAAUCAGCGUCGGAAAAUUUGCUGAGACUCCUGAGAUGAUGGGACAUAUAAGCCCUUUUGAAAAUCUCCAAAUGCUUGAUUUACAAGGUUUGCCACAUUUGAAGAGCAUCUUCUGGAAGCCAUUGCCUUUCACUCAUCUGAAAGAAAUGGAGGUACUUAGGUGCGAUCAGCUUGAAAAGCUUCCACUCGAUUCCAACAGGGCAAAGGAGCGUAAAUUUGUUAUUCGUGGAGAAGAAGACUGGUGGAACCGACUUCAAUGGGAGGAUGAAGCCACUCAAAUUGCUUUUCGUUCCUGUUUUAAAAGUGAUGCUUUAUUUAUAUCUUAUUCGUGAAAAGUGAUUUAAUUUCCUGCCAAAAGACGAACGAGAAGAACAAUAGAGUCAAACUAAUGCUCACAUAAAUUUCCCGUAAGAAUAUAUAAUUAGACUGGAAUGCACACCUCUAGAUUGAACAGAAUUAAAGCUGAGAAAAUAUUGAGUAUAGUAGCCCUCUUUACAGAAAAUGACGCGAAAGUUAAUUUAGAAAGAUAUAUUCUUGAUUAAUCCAUUUUCUGAAGUUUUUAUUUUGUAUGGUCAAUUAUACCUUCAUACUAAAAAUUCCUGAAGUUAUAAAUUAGUGCAACUUGACAAUUUUUACUGAUAAUAUCUUCUAUUUUUCCUUUUUUUUUUUUCACUUUCAUAGAAUGGCAGCGGAUCCUGCGGCACCAAUUUGAGAGAAUAUACUGACACUACUUCGAACAGCAAGCAGAAGAAGUAAUAUGUCUACGGCAAAGGCAAUGCAGUCCUCAUUUUGGCUUGAGAUGCAGUAAUCAUCGAAGAGAGUUUCCUUGUGAAACUGGGCAACACAUUGAAUCCCUUCGCCACUGAGAAGGUUGUGGAGGAAGUAAGCUUUCUCUCCAGUGAGGAAGAGGUGGCAUACCUUCCCCAUUUUGUCGAGGGCAGGUAGGAAUCUUUUUUCUAAGAGAUUUACUUCGUUCUCUGUAAGAAAUGCUUUGAACUUCAUCCCUCUGUCUCUAUCCUCACUUAUCAGGAAAUAAGUUGAAAGCACUAUGAAGAGAGAGAGAGAGAGAGAGAGAGAGAGAAUUAAGAUAUAUAGACAAGAAAAAUAUUAGACGUUGAUCUUACAAACUAAUACUUCAAGCAGUAUCCUAGAAAGCUAAAAACUGCAAGAUGGCUUGAAAUUUGAAAAGAGCACGUGCUUUUCCUCCUUAACUUGAGAAAAUGUUUAAUAUAGUGCACCUUACAGAAGCAUUUAAGCAAUUAGAACUUUGCACAAAAACAUCAAGAAGACUAAACAAAUCAGAUGCAGUGUAUUUGUCCAAGCACAAAUUGCAUUUUGUCCUCAACUUUAAUAUUUAUUGAUGAGAAUCAAUACAGGUCCCUCAUUUGUUAUAGAAAGCUUUCUUUCUUGUAGUCUCACCAGUUAAUUCACAGGUCUAUAAUCAUCUUGCAAAGUUAAGGGCAUUUCUUUCGAUCUAAAGUCUUUGGAUCACCACCUCAUCACACACCAAGCCAAUAUUCCAUUUACCUCUACAACAAAAAGUUUUAAGUAAACAAUCCUAAUGCACGCAGCCAAAUAAAAUGCAGUAAGAAUAUUCAACUUAAAAAUCUGAAAGCCAACUUGGUGAAUUGCCUCCUUAGGUGAAGUUCCAUGCUUUACUAUAGUUGACAGAACUCAGCAAAAGCUUCCAUACAACAGAUUUUGAAAAUGAUGAUGCCAAUAGAUACUCAUUCAAUCCAUUGAAAAUCCAAAGGUUCAUUGUUAAUAGAAGUUUACAGAGUUUUGGUCAUCAAAUAGCUCAGACCUAAUCCCAAACAAAAAACGAGUGAAAAUUAGAUCACGAGCAGCUAAUUGUAAAUUCUAACUUAACUCUUCAUCUCCUUUGUAAACAAGAAACAAAAUGGAGACACGCAAAAUGAAUAUGGAGAAAAUUUGAACUCAAAUGAAAUGAGGGCACGAAAGCAAACAAAUGGCAUGCACAAAAAAACCAAGCCUCAAUCAAAAACUAAUUAACCAUUAAGAAAAAAAUUGGUCAGAGAAUGAACUCCAAUUCAGGAGUCAAGCAAGAAGCUUUCAUUAUUUCAGAAGCUCCUGUACAAAUUAAUAAGUUAUGCUCUUUGGAAGCAAACCUAAAUUCCAAGAGAAACAGAACCCAAAAAAAUUUGUAAUUAUACGCAAAGGAAGUGAAGCACAGGAUUCUAUCACACAUAGGAAUUGUAUAACAAGAGAUCGAUAUAUCGAAUUAGAAAACUCAAUUCGAAUUUGUGUCAAAAAUCAAAAAUUUGCAAUUAUAGCGUUCUAUUUAGUGGUAAUGAAUUCUUGGUUUGGGAGUUGCUUAGUUUAAAACGUUUAAAUGUAUUAAGCAUCAUCUUGAAAAGUUUUUCUGCCGUCCAAAAACUUAUGAGCUUCCAAAAGUUGCAAAGCUGUACACAAUGCUUGGAGCUUGUAGACUGUGAUGAUCCAAAGUCAUUUGCCUUGGCAGAGUUGAAGCAUCUUGAAAAACUAGGUUUUUCGAGUUGUGGAAUAUUCAUGUAAGUGAAGUAACCGUCACAAUACUAGUGAAAUUGGGAGCUUUAUUCAUGAGUUUGUGGUUUUGAAAAGUACCACAGUUCAACUGGUGAAGGCUCCGUUUUGGGAUUCUUCUUUUUCCAGGCUGCAAUUAGGAUAUGUACAUGAUAGACAAUCUUUUGUUGGUUUAGCAUAUCUUCGCUGAUUUUGUCUUUUAUUCCCCAAUUUUAUAAUUACACACCAUGAAUGUUGGGUGAUUGUAUAGAAAAUUUGUGUUAUAACAAAAACAUUGUGAAGGAGUUUCUGUGCUAAUUGUUAGUGGCUUCUGUUUUAUUGGCAUUGAUUGGGUAGAUUACGUGUUACAGUGAUUCAAUUUGUGUUCCAAACUUUGCUUUAAUUUUCUGUUUUCCCCAACUAUUUAUGUCAAAUUUAAAUCCAGAAGCAUGUACUGAUUUUUUCUUUUUGUAUUAAUCUGUGAAGUUUAUUUGGAAUGGAAGUAACUGGGUCGGGUCUAAUGGAUUAAAUUAUGACAUUGAGGGGAAGGCACUAAAAGGGUUUGCUUGACACAUUUGGUUCUGUGUUUACUCUGCAAGAAAUAACUUUUGCUUAUUGCAAUGCAGGGGGAAAUCCCGAUUUGGCUGGUGAAUUUCUCUGCAACAAACAGGCAAACACCUCAACAUCUUCUGUCCAUACUUCUGCUGGGGAGGCAAGGGGUAAAGAGUCUUCAAAAUCAUCAAAUAGUUACAUCUCUGAGAAUUCAUUUUAUGGAAAUGGAAAAUCUAGAGCUUCUAAUACAAAAUGGCAUCUGGUAUCAGGACGUACCGUUUCAAGUUUUCUUGGUAAAGAUUAUGUUAAACCUGCACAGCCAGCUAAUGGCACUUUUCUGGCAUCAAAGCCAUUGAAGUUGGAUCCAAGGGAGUUUCGCAUUUCUGCACUUUCAGAGAAGAAACUAAACCGAAACAAUCAAAGGAUGACCAUUUGCAGAAGGAUAUGGAAGAUUUUCUGUUUAAAUUGCUAGGAGAAGGGUUCCAGCUGUACAGGGAUGUGAUUCAGGAGGUUCAUGGUAACGUCUUAAAUAUAUUGAUGCCAAUUUAAUACAUAUUGUCCUUUUCAAUGUUCUUUCUUUCUUUCUCCUCUUUUUAUUCUUCUUCUUCUUCUUUUUUCUUUUCGUGUGCAUGUGAUCACUAAUUUGGUAUUAUUCUUAACUUGCAGAUAGUUGUGGAUAUGAUAUGCAAAAAGGUAAGGACUAUAUCUUCUUGAUGAAGGCCUCUGAUUUUUUCCCUUCUAUGUAAUUUAGUAAAUCGCAUUUUCCUUUGUGAUUUUUUUUUUUUUUAAUACUGAUUAAUCAUCAUAUUACUGCAUUACACAGAUAUAUCAUACCAAAGCAAAUCGUAAUAUUCCACAAGAAAAAGCAAGAUCUUAAUGUUCCACAAAAGCGUUAUUUUUUUUUUUUGGUGACCCACGUGGAGCUCAAUUAUCAUUGUCUUUACUUUAAAAACGUUAUUUUAUUUUAUUUUAUUUUAUUACAAAUUAAUGCCAACAAGAAAAAGCAAGAUAUAAUAUUCCACAAAAGCAAAUCGUAAUAUUCCACAGAGGAAUAAGAUCCACAAAAGCAAACAACCAGCUGGAUUCUUUUAUUGAACUACAAAUUAAAGUGGAAUCUUUUAUUAAACAACAAAUUAAAGUUCAAAUAUUUAAAUAGUAGUGCGUUAGACGAUUAGGCUCUUUUAUUAAAGGCAAGUAUAAAGUAGUCCAGAAUCGAACAUCUCUAUUGUCUAGUCUUUUUUUUUUUUUUUAUUCUUCUUUUAUUAUUUUUGAGAAUAGGUUUUGGUGAUUACUAUUGGGUUAUUAUUCAGAGUUAUUGUUAUCUUCCGGGGCAGUUUCUGUUCAUCGAAAUCGUUAAUUAAAAUUUUAAAACUCUUAUCGGAAGAAUGUUUUUCCGUUAUUUUUUUAUAUUCUAAUUUCAAUUGUAAGAAGUAGUCAUUUUAGAAUUUGGGUCUUGAAUCGAAUUUCAAUGCAUGAAUUAAUAUUUUAAAAAAAAAUUACUACACGCAGUUUAGGUUACAAACUAUUUUUAAUUUGCAAAGUUGACUAUGAAAUUGGAGAAAUUAAGUAAUUUAUAAUGUUUGCAAAGGAAGAGACUAACAUACUUCCAAUUACACUAUAUCUCUAUUAUCAUAAUGUUAAGACUAAACUAACUUAAAAUAAAUUUUAUUUAAAAAGUUAUAUCAAACGCAGUCUAAUUUUAUUAACUUGAAGAGAUAAUAGUUAUAAAAAUUAUUGUUCUAACUUAAUUAGUACAAGUGGUAUAAAGGUUAAGUGUGCACUAAAUCUGUUUAAAUUUUUUUCAGUAUAACUAACAGAGGUCAUUACUAGAAUUAUAUUACUAGUCUAUUAGAUAGAAAAAAUUAUUUAUAUUAUUUUAUAUUUAUUAAAAAAUUUUAAAGUCAAUCUUUUUAAUUACUAUUUAAAGGAUAUUAUAAUUAAAAAAAAUUUAAUAUAUUUAUUAAAAAUUUAAAAAUUUACAUGACCGUUCUAUAAAUAUUUAAAGUGUAACUGUCAUUUUCUCAUAUAUAUAUAUAUAUAUAGAAACCACGGUGGUGAAGCUUUAUUUAAUAUUAAUGAUUUAAAUAAUAAUAUCUCAAUUAAAAAUGUAGAGAGAAGAAAUUUCGGUGGGUAUAUUAAUCUUUUACAAUUAUCAUGAUUAGCCCUUCCUCUUGUAACGUUGGUCAGAAAAGUUUUAAAAAUUAUUCCUUUUACUUUUAACGUUAGCGGCCUUCCUUAUAUUUUAUUACAAAUUCGUCCACAAAAGCAAAAGUGACAAAACAACCAACUGGAUUCUUUUAUUAAACUACAAUUUCAAAAGAUUUUAAAGUGAAUUCUUUUGAAUACAGGUGGGGUAGUCGAAUAGUCUUUUUCAAAUUCUUGUUUUAUUAUUUUUCAAAACUAGUUUUUGGUAAUUACAAUCGGGUCAUUCAUUAGUCAUUAUUCAGAGUUAUUGUUAUCUUCGGGGGCAGUGGGUAAAAGGCUAAAUGAUAAUUACUAACUGUUUUUCCUUCAAAAGUUAGUGGCUCGUGUUUUGCAAGUGUGAACGUGCGAUUCUCUUUGUCUAAAGGCAAUUACAGUGGGUCCCGAAUCGGACGUGCCUAAUAAAUCUUUUUAAAAUUUUCUAAUAAAUAUUCCUAAAAUUUCUCUUCCACAGGCAAUUACAGCAGCUUCAGUUAAUCAAACUCAAUCAAUUUUCUUUCUUAACAAAAUUCCAAAGAUGUUUGGCUGUUUUCAGAUCACAUGCGAUGGUGCUCUUUUCAAUCGUUGCUUGGAUUGCUUUCUUGGAAAAGCAGCAUACAUACGUAACCUCCAAGAUAAUCUUGAUGCCUUGGAGACUGAAUUGGGAAAUCUAAUCGCAGCAGAGAACGAUGUGAUGACGAGGGUUGUCAAUGCUGAACGGCAACAAAUGAUAAGGCUGGAAAGAGUGCAACGGUGGAUUUCGAGGGUGGAUGCUGUUAAAACUGGAGCCGAUGAACUUAUCACAGACGACUCUGAAGAAAUUGGCAAAUUAUGUGUUGGAGGCUACUGUUCCAAGAACUGCAGGUCAAGCUACAAAUUCGGAAAACAAGUGGCUAAAAAGCUACAAGAUGUGAAGACUUUAAUCGCCGAGGGAGUUUUUGAGGCGGUGGCCACUGAGGUGGUGCCCGAGAGAGCUCCGGAACCUGUAGCAGAUAAAAGACCCAUUGAGCCAACAAUAGUAGGCUUGCAAUCACAGCUUGAACAAGUUUGGAGAUGUCUUGUAGAAGAAUCAGUGGGAAUCAUUGGCCUAUAUGGUAUGGGCGGUGUUGGUAAAACCACACUAUUGACCCGUAUCAACAAUAAAUUUCUUGAGAGUCAAAACAACUUUGAUUGUGUGAUUUGGGUCGUAGUUUCAAAAGACCUGCGACUUGAAAAAAUUCAAGAAGAUAUUGGGAAGAAGAUAGGUCUAUCUGAUGAUUCAUGGAAGAAUAAAAGUUUUGAAGAGAAAGCUGUGGACAUCCUGCGGAGAUUAGGAGAGAAGAGAUUUGUAUUGUUGUUAGAUGAUUUAUGGGAGCGGGUUGAUUUAACAAAAGUGGGCGUUCCACUUCCCAGCGCACAAAAUACUACCUCAAAAGUCGUAUUCACAACCCGUUCCAUUGGUGUUUGUGGCAGCAUGAGAGCUAGGCCGGUUAAAGUGGCAUGCCUAUCAGAAAAGCAAGCUUGGGAACUGUUCCGCGAAAAUGUUGGGGAAGAAACUCUUGAGAGUGAUCAUGAG